ACACAUGCAAGUCGAACGGAGAUUACUUCGGUACUCUUAGUGGCGAACGGGUGAGUAACGCGUGGGCAACCUGCCCUCUAGAUGGGGACAACAUCCCGAAAGGGGUGCUAAUACCGAAUGUGACAGCAAUCUCGCAUGAGGAUGCUGUGAAAGAUGGCCUCUAUUUAUAAGCUAUCGCUAGAGGAUGGGCCUGCGUCUGAUUAGCUAGUUGGUGGGGUAACGGCCUACCAAGGCGAUGAUCAGUAGCCGGUCUGAGAGGAUGAACGGCCACAUUGGGACUGAGACACGGCCCAGACUCCUACGGGAGGCAGCAGUGGGGAAUCUUCCGCAAUGGGCGAAAGCCUGACGGAGCAAUGCCGCGUGAGUGAUGAAGGAAUUCGUUCCGUAAAGCUCUUUUGUUUAUGACGAAUGUGCAGGUUGUGAAUAAUGACUUGUAAUGACGGUAGUAAACGAAUAAGCCACGGCUAACUACGUGCCAGCAGCCGCGGUAAUACGUAGGUGGCGAGCGUUGUCCGGAAUUAUUGGGCGUAAAGAGCAUGUAGGCGGUUUUUUAAGUCUGGAGUGAAAAUGCGGGGCUCAACCCCGUAUGGCUCUGGAUACUGGAAGACUUGAGUGCAGGAGAGGAAAGGGGAAUUCCCAGUGUAGCGGUGAAAUGCGUAGAUAUUGGGAGGAACACCAGUGGCGAAGGCGCCUUUCUGGACUGUGUCUGACGCUGAGAUGCGAAAGCCAGGG
rnacentral:rRNA from 1 species